CCCCAGACAGCCCUAGGGUGCUGAACAGACAGCCUGGCACCCUGAUGAGCUUGUCCCUUCUGAGAUUACUGUAGUUUAGAGUAUAUUUGUCAGCAUGAUUUUUGGGCCUAGGUGCUGGAGAUGAACAGGAGCCUUCAGCAGAAAGUCAAAAUGCUUCCUUCGAAUCCUGCUGAAUGAUAAUGUUCCAGGGAGACCAGCACUUGAAAACAAAAGUGACUACUCUUUUGUCCUAAUCUUAAGUCCCAUCACCUUGGCUGGAAGCUCUCAGUUCUGGUAAUGAGUGUUGAGAGGCAAUCUGAGGAUAGUAAUUAGGUAUUAAACCUAGAUGGGUACUAA